rnacentral:lncRNA from 1 species
AGCCUGGCGCUUUUUUUUUGUUUUUUUAAACUCAAUUUGAGUUAAUUACCACGUGAUUAAAUUGAGUCCAUGCUGAAAUUACCUUGUCUUGCAUUGUUUCUGUUGGGCUCCAUGUACAUGGGUCCAACCUGUUUUGCUAGCCAUCAUUCUUAGUAGGCUCACACACCCCUUUGCCAUGACUGAAGAGCAUUAGGCCUUUUACCCAAGGCCCAUGCGCCUGGGUCUUUCUUACACCCUAAUUCCAGAAUCUAAACCCCCUGGCCCAUUAUUUU